rnacentral:rRNA from 1 species
UACGUAGGGGCCGAGCGUUGUCCGGAGUUAUUGGGCGUAAAGCGCGCGCAGGCGGCUUCGCGCGUCCGACGUGAAAGCCCCCGGCUUAACCGGGGAGGGUCGUUGGGUACGGCGGAGCUUGAGGGCGGGAGAGGGUGGUGGAAUUCCCGGUGUAGUGGUGAAAUGCGUAGAGAUCGGGAGGAACACCAGUGGCGAAGGCGGCUCGCUGGGCCGGACCUGACGCUGAGACGCGAAGGCGUGGGGAGCGAACGGG